rnacentral:tRNA from 1 species
GGGUCUGUAGCGCAGUCGGCCGUCGCGCCUCUUUGGCAAAGAGGAGGACGCUGGUUCGAAUCCAGCCGGGCCCA